GAGAGAGUUCAGAGUACGUGAAACCGUUCAGGGGUAAACCUGAGAAGCCCGAAAGGUCGAAUGGGGAAAUUCAUUCGCGUUUCGGCCGUCGGCGUGGGAUGGUCGAGCGACGGACGGCGUACGCGUCGUCCGCGCCUUCCGUUCUUCGAACCGGCGUCGAACGCGUGCACUUUUCCCCUAGUAGGACGUCGCGAUCCGUUGGGUGUCGGUCUACGGCUCGCGGUGGAGCCCGUGCGGUCGCUUCGCGGCGUAUCGCACGGACCCGCGGUGUCCCGGCCGACUCGCUCGACGGUAUACAGAUGGCGCGGGGCCGCUACAGUUAGCGUUCGGCCCGCGGCAAGCGCGUUCGUCGUUUGACGGCGAUCGGACCCGGUGCCGGUCCUGUCCGCGAACGACUGUUGGCCGCGGUGUUCUCGAACAGACCUCGAAACGAAACGCCGAUCUGCGACGCUAUAGCUUUGGGUACUUUCAGGACCCGUCUUGAAACACGGACCAAGGAGUCUAGCAUGUGCGCGAGUCAUUGGGACAUAACUAAACCUAAAGGCGUAAUGAAAGUGAAGGUCCGCCUUGCGCGGAUCUAGGGAGGAUGAGCGGNUUUUUGAUGCCCUUAAAAGCGGCCGCUCCGCACUCCCGGGGCGUCUCGUUCUCAUCGCGAGAAGAGGCGCACCAAGAGCGUACACGCUGGGACCG
rnacentral:rRNA from 1 species